CUGGGGACUUGGGACAUGCUUAACAACGGGUAGUGUGACAUCUCCGCCCGAUUUCUACUGUGUUCAAGGAAAUUGUAAGACCUGUAAUAGACGUCAUGUUCGUUUUUGGUACGUCUCAGCGUGUGUAAAACCAUCGCUGCUGGGAAUGCAAUACAAGGGGGUGAGAAAUCGGAUUGAGGGCUCUCGUAUGAUAACAACACCUCCGCUUGUCUGUCAUGCAUAGCAACAGUCACUAAGGAAGUGCCCAAACAACCCGGAAAUCCGGUUUAGGACUGUGUAGGAGGAGAGAUCGCUCAGCUCUGAUUGGUGAUGCCUUGGUACGACAAAGGGCCGCCUCUUCCCCCUUUCAGAUCUGUGUACAUGUUUGUGAUUUGGUGAGAGACACAGCUGCACGACCCCGUCCUCAUCGGCCCUGGGAUUAUCUCAGAAAACAAAAUGACGACGGACUGCCUGUUCACGCUGGAAAGCGAGAUCGAGUCGUGCAUGGAGGCGCUGCUGCGGGCGAUCGUGUCCGAAGUGGCGGACAUUUUCCGAAGCGGCGUGUCUGCCUCGGAGGACCCGUUUCGAGGCCAGCUCCGCCGGAGCUCGGGGAUGCUGGUGAGGCGGGUGGUGUUCACCCUGACCAAGUUUCUCCGGGGCAGCUUCGGGGAUGAGAUCGCGCAGAUGAAGCGGGAGAUCGAGACCCUGAGGGGGAGGCUGCAGGUCUGGGGGCAGCAGGCGGCGGGGUCGGGGGGAGACCGAGACCGGGGGCAGACGGAUCGCCUCGGACACACGCCUCCCGGCGAGGUGAUCGUGGAAGUCAAGGAAGAAACGGACCCGGAGCUGGAGCUGUCGGGUGCCGGGUGGUCGGAGGUCGGGGCUCUCGCUGACGCUGGGGAAGGGGCUCCUCUUGAACAGCAGUGCAGCGAGGAGGAGGAGGAGGAGGAGUGGGGGUCCGUCUGUAUGCAGGAGACAGAGCUCCUGGCUGCCGAGAGGAAGGAGCAACUCGGGGAGCAGCACAGAAGCAGGGUGGAAGAUCUUGGCGGACCGGAGUAUCGCCCUUCCGAGCAAAGACCCGAGAGCGUGGCUCGCUACCGUCAGGCGAUUGGGGAUCGGGAUGCUCCAAACAGGCAGGGCGCCGGCGAUAUUCCACGAAGCGGCGGCGGAGCGGAGUCCGUCUCUGUCCGAGGACAGAAAGAAGAGGGGCGGGGCGACCUGGACGCCGCGCGGCCCGCGGGACAGGCCGCCGAGGUC
rnacentral:lncRNA from 1 species